CAGAAGAUGCUCCAUAGCAGGGUGCUCAUAUCAGAUUUCUUGAUCCAACAUCCUCUCACUCUGUAUCUCUUACAGUCAGUAGACAUGGAGGAUGGGAAGCCUGAUCUGCAGCUGCUCAAAGUGGAGACAAGAGGACAGACCAGAGAGUGGAUUAAAGAUGUGGGAUCAAGGUGGUUGGCUGUAAGCUAACCGAGGAGACUGGGCGGCCAUCUUGGAUUCCCAGACCCAGACUGUUGCAGCCAAGGUCCCUGGGGACGACAUCACCAAGCAGGCCAGGACCAGAGGCGACAUAGCGGAGUCUGCAGUCCAUGAGGACCUGCUGAUAUCCGGUGUUGCUGGUGGGAGAGACUGGACCUCUGAGGUGGCUGGUCAUAAACUCUGGCCCCAGAUCAGGACCCUGGAUGAGAAGCUUUCGCUCUUCCUUCCCAAGUCAGAACCAGGACCCAACCACGAGGGACAGAGACCCCACCACCACCACAUAGAACACAACUAGUGGACAGGUAGACUGAACAGCCUCAGUCCUAGUGGUCAUCAGAGAGACAGAGGCUCCAGUCAGAGAUCUAGUCUGCAGCCCAGAACCUUCUCUCCACAGUCUCAAUGCAGGGAUGAAGCAGGGCCUGGGGCUGAUAGAGAUAGACCCACCUGUUCCUAUGAUACAAACAUCACAGUAUCCAUGAUGAACAGAAUAAGUCACCCUGGGCUUCAGCCUUCAUAGAGAGUAGUGGGAGACACCCCUGGUGGAAGUCUAUCAGGAAGUCUGUCUUCUCCUUCAGGAUCUUGUCUAAUGCUUAGUGACUGUGUUCAUAGAAAGCCUGGAGCUGGAUCUAUCCUUCCUCAGCUGCCUCAUAGUUACCCCACCAAUACAGACCGGGUCAGGACGGGCGUUCACCACAAGAGGUACCUAGCCAAUAACACAGCACACAAUCCCAAUAACACCCAAACAAUGGCUAGAGGUCAAGGAGGGAGCUCAAAGACUAACCACCUGAGGCUGGUCGCUCCUGCUUCUACCUCCUCUGGUGUCAUUGGGUCACAACGUGGGAGGCAGAGUAUUAGGACAGACGCCGACAAGCCGUACGCCUGCCCCACGUGUGGGAAGCGCUUUACUGAGUCGAACUAUGUGAAUUGGCACAAGACCGUUCACUCCAAGGAGAGGCCCUUCAAGUGCAAAGUAUGUUACAAGAGCUUCUCCUUCCUGAGUAGCCUUAUCAGACAUAGGAGUGUCCACAAUGGGGAGAAAUUGUAGCAUGUGGCUUGAGAUGUACACCAGGGAUAUCUGGGAGCCAUUCUUUAGCUUAGCAAUUCUCAACUGGUGGGUCACAGGGAGGUUUGGAAUGGGUCGCAGGUGUCUGAGUAAAAACAAAAAAGUGUAUAUAUAUUUAUAUAUAUUACAGUUGAAGUCGGAGGUUAACAUACACUUAUGUUGGAGUCAUUUAAACUUGUUUUUCAACCACUCCACAAAUUUC